rnacentral:lncRNA from 1 species
CAUUUUAGUAUAAACCAGAGUGCUUUUAUCUAAAGUUUUUACUUCUUGAUUUUAAAGUAUGUGAAUAUAGUGUACAACUGGAUGAAAGAAGAGGUCUAUAAUGAUAAAUUAAAAAAUACAUGACUUGGAUGGAGAGUUGUCUCAUUUGCACUCAUACCACAUCUUCUUAUAUCUAUUCACCUGUAAUUAACCUGUAAUUUACCUGUAAAAAAUCGGCGCAAAUGAAAACAAAAAUCGGCGCAAAUGAAAUGCAGAUCGGCGCAAAUGCAAAACGCCGGUUAUAAGUU